GCAGAUAAACAUUCUCCAACAAUUAUUAAGAGUUGGAUUGCUCUACCUUCAUUUAAUUCCUUGGUGCUUUACUAUUUGAAUCUAGAAUAUUCUUGAAGUCUGAAAGAUGGAUAGAAAAGAGUUGUUCUCAAGACUCCUAAAUAAAGCAUUUCCCCUGUGUGGGCGACCCCUGGGUCCCAUGUGGGGUCAGUGUUUGGGUCUCUCUGAGAGGAUCAGGAAGGCUGCUCUUCCAGGAAGGGCUGCAGGGACCCUGGGAACCGGACCAGUCCAGCUCACAAGUAUGAAGAGAAUGUCGGGAGAGGAAGUGGUGGCUAUGAGUCAGCAUGAGUCAUCUCGUUCCAAUGAGAAUGAAGGCUGAGGUGUGCGCCUUUUUUUUUUUUUCCUUCUUAGUCGUGUGUACAUCAUUGGGAAUGGAGGGAAAUAAAUGACUGGAUGGUCGCUGCUUUUUAAGUUUCAAAUUGACAUUCCAGACAAGCGGUGCCUGAGCCCGUGCCUGUCUUCAGAUCUUCACAGCACAGUUCCUGGGAAGGUGGAGCCACCAGCCUCUCCUUGACAAGCAAAGUGGAUCAGCAAAGGCUGCAGUCACCAGCAUCUUUUCCAACCUUAAUGAACUGUAUCCUCAAAAGAACACUAUCAGACUGGCUCUGCCGACUUCCAGUUCUGGAACAAGAUGGUUAAACUCAUUUUUCCCUGCUCUGCUCCUCUAAAUACAACUAAGUACCUUGGAAACUAUUCAGCAGACAAUGAUAAAGGGCUCUGAAAGCUAGAAGAAAAGGUGUACUUGCAAGAAACCUCAGGACUUGAGUAACAGCAACAUGGACAGGACAACCCAGCCUCCCGGGUCCCAGGAGGACUUGGCAUGGCUGAGGACACCCAAGAGGAACCACCAGCCUAUCCCUGAAAAAGCAAAGACACUUUGGGGAACAGAAGAACGUCUUAAAAGAUAUCAACUUUGACUCAGAGAUUUCAAGAAGACGCUCUAUCCGAAAACCAAAGAAGAAGUGUCAAAGCUGUUGUAAAUGUUUAAAAGAAUAGCCACCUUGAUUGCAUUUUGAGUGAAUUGUGAAUUCCCUCUCCCUGGGUCUUCCUCAUUCUUCUACAUCCUCCCCAUUUCUGUACUGAAUUUAUAGCAGACUGAAUUUGGAAGUUGAUUUGAAUGUUUAAAUAUAUGAGACACUCUUUGUUACUUUGGAAUGAGUAAGGCAUUAAUUCUUUUACGUUUUGAUUUUUAAAGGUUUUAUAGAAAAUUGCAUGUUUCAUCAGGAAAAAAGUUAUCUAGUUCUACUCAAAAUAACAUCUUAUGGAAACUUUCAGAGUUUCACCAGACAAAAUGCCCCAGGCUUUGGCUUUGCAGCUGGUGUCUACAGCUGAGCCUAGUCCUUGAAGUAAUCAUGACUCAGCUUAUUCAAAAUAAACUCUUCAAGAAUUGCAAACUCUCCUCUCAGCGCAUGCCCUGUGACCUCCAUGUCCCUCCAUUACAUCUCCUCAGAGUAAGGCCCAAUGCCACUGACUCAUGGGGGAACCACAGGCAGCAAAUGGCCAGAGCUCACACAGAGGGAUGAGUGCACUUCACCUGCAGUGUGACUCAGCAGGCCAACAGAUGCUAUCAGGGAAGAGCACUAAAAACCAAAGGGUGGCUGGCUGCGUCUCAGCAUCUGUCCGCGAGAAACACGAUGCCAUGGUUAUUUUGUGAUUUUGGUGGUAGGCUGCUGGUCAGGUGUCUCCAAGCAAGUUGGUCAAAAUGGGAACAGUUGUUUCUCUGGGCGGGCAGGGGUCAAGGCUGGUCUGGAAAAGGCCGAGGCAGCUGCACCCUCUUGAGCCACUGGCCAGCACCUGUGCCCUGUCUGGGGCUUUCCUCUGCCCACAGGAGACCCUUCUCCAUGCAGGUGCUGCGUGGCACCAGGCAUGAGUCUGAAGUUCCUUCUGCCACAAGCACCCUCGUUAUUUGUGAUUGUGCAAAAAAGGAAGUCUCUGCCAAGAAACUAACUGAAUGUUAGUGCCUGUUCUCAGGACUUUCCAUAACCCUGCUCUACUAGGAUUCCUUUCACCCUCUUUGAAAGCAGCCAAAGGGUUAAGUCAUCCCAGGUGCAUCUCAAAGCAGGGCUGCGAGCAGCAGGAGUUUGAGCUUUGUUGCAAUUAGAAGUUGAGUGUGAGAAAGGACAUUCAGGCACAGCUUAUCUUUGAAUACACAUGCAGGAGUAUCAGGAGCAGUUAGAGAUAAACAGCUGGCUAAUAAACACAUGAAAAGAUGCUCAGCAUCAUUGGUCAUUAGGGACAGGCAAAUCAAAACCACAAUGAGACUCUACUUGACUCCCAUUAGGAUGGCGACAACACAAACAAACAAACAAAAAAGAAGGUAAUCAGUGUGGAUGAGGAUGUGGAAAAGUUGGAAACUUCAGACAUUGCCGUUGAGAAUGGAAAAUGAUACAGCUGUUUUGGAAAACAGUUUAAUGUUUCCUUAAAAAGUUGAAUAGAGAAUUAGCAUAUGACCCAGCAAUUCCAUUUUUAUGUUUGUACCCCAAA
ensembl:lncRNA CYTOR cytoskeleton regulator RNA